UAUAUCCAAAGACCGUAUAAGAUAUCAACAAAUUAUUUUUACUAAAUUGUUAGUUGCGACAUGUCGUAACACAUAAAUUUUUAUUGCAAGUGUACGUUGAACGUAAAAGGGAGUUUUCUCUCCUCUUGUAUUUAAAAAUACGUGUUUGGUGAUAUAAGUCAUUAACCAAAUAUAAUUAAGACCUAUGGUCUUUUGAUUUGAGGUCCUUAGUUCAUGACCUUGAAAUUGAUCUCAAGGUCAUAGCUUAAUUUGACGUUCUAGAUUUUGACCUUUGCUUUUAUUUUAUAUGUAUACAUGAUAAAGCUAUGAAACUUUUGGAAAAAGGUAUCAAACCAUUUAACCUUGAAAGAAACA
rnacentral:lncRNA from 1 species